rnacentral:tRNA from 1 species
UCCCUGGUGGUCCAGUGGCUAAGACUCUGCACUCGCAAUGCAGAGGACUGGGGUUCAAUUCCUGGUCAGGGAA